GGGCCCGUGGCUCAGCCUGGUUAGAGCGUGCGCCUGAUAAGCGCAAGGUCCGGGGUUCAAAUCCCCGCGGGCCCA
rnacentral:tRNA from 1 species